rnacentral:rRNA from 1 species
UACGAAGGGGGCUAGCGUUGCUCGGAAUCACUGGGCGUAAAGGGUGCGUAGGCGGGUUUUUAAGUCAGGGGUGAAAUCCUGGGGCUCAACCCCAGAACUGCCUUUGAUACUGAGGAGCUUGAGUCCGGGAGAGGUGAGUGGAACUGCGAGUGUAGAGGUGAAAUUCGUAGAUAUUCGCAAGAACACCAGUGGCGAAGGCGGCUCACUGGCCCGGUACUGACGCUGAGGUGCGAAAGCGUGGGGAGCAAACCGG